rnacentral:rRNA from 1 species
UACGUAGGGGGCAAGCGUUGUCCGGAUUUAUUGGGCGUAAAGAGCGUGUAGGCGGCCAGGUAGGUCGGUUGUGAAAACUCGAGGCUCAACCUCGAGAUGCGACCGAAACCAUCUGGCUAGAGUCCGGAAGAGGAGAAUGGAAUUCCUGGUGUAGCGGUGAAAUGGCGCAGAGUAUCAGGAGGAACACCGGUGGCGAAGGCGGGUCUCUGGGCCGAUACUGACGCUGAGGAGCGAAAGCAUGGGGAGCGAACAGG